UACGAAGGGUGCAAGCGUUAAUCGGGAUUACUGGGCGUAAAGCGCGCGUAGGUGGUUCAGCAAGUUGGAUGUGAAAGCCCUGGGCUCAACCUGGGAACUGCAUCCAAAACUACUGAGCUAGAGUACGGUAGAGGGUAGUGGAAUUUCCUGUGUAGCGGUGAAAUUCGUAGAUAUUCGCAGGAACACCAGUGGCGAAGGCGGCUUGCUGGACUUGUAGUGACGCUGAGACGCGAAAGCGUGGGGAGCAAACAGGAUUAGAAACCC
rnacentral:rRNA from 1 species